UACAGAGGUGGCAAGCGUUGUUCGGAAUUACUGGGCGUAAAGGGCGCGUAGGCGGUUCGUUAAGUCCUGUGUGAAAUCCCCCGGCUCAACUGGGGAACUGCACAGGAAACUAGCGGGCUUGAGUUCGGGAGAGGGAAGCGGAAUUCCGGGUGUAGCGGUGAAAUGCGUAGAUAUCAGGAAGAACACCGGUGGCGAAAGCGCUCUGCUAGGCCGCAACUGACACUGAGGGACGAAAGCUAGGGGAGCGAAUGGG
rnacentral:rRNA from 1 species